rnacentral:rRNA from 1 species
CUACGGGUGGCAGCAGUGGGGAAUAUUGGACAGUGGGGGAAACCCUGAUCCAGCAAUGCCGCGUGUGUGAAGAAGGCCUGCGGGUUGUAAAGCACUUUCGGUUGGGAGGACUGCUUCUAGCACUAAUAUUGUUGGAAGUUGACGUUACCUUCAGAAGAAGCACCGGCUAACUCCGUGCCAGCAGCCGCGGUAAUACGGAGGGGGCAAGCGUUAAUCGGAAUUACUGGGCGUAAAGCGCGCGUAGGCGGCUAGAUCAGUCGGGUGUGAAAGCCCCGGGCUUAACCUGGGAACUGCAUCCGAUACUGUCUAGCUUGAGUACAGGAGAGGAGAGUGGAAUUCCGCAUGUAGCGGUGAAAUGCGUAGAUAUGUGGAGGAACACCAAUGGCGAAGGCAGCUCUCUGGCCUGAUACUGACGCUGAGGUGCGAAAGCGUGGGGAGCAAACAGGAUUAGAUACCCCCGUAGUC